rnacentral:rRNA from 1 species
UACGAAGGGGGCUAGCGUUGCUCGGAAUCACUGGGCGUAAAGCGCACGUAGGCGGCUUUCUAAGUCAGGGGUGAAAUCCUGGAGCUCAACUCCAGAACUGCCUUUGAUACUGGAGAGCUAGAGUCCGGGAGAGGUGAGUGGAACUCCGAGUGUAGAGGUGAAAUUCGUAGAUAUUCGCAAGAACACCAGUGGCGAAGGCGGCUCACUGGCCCGGUACUGACGCUGAGGUGCGAAAGCGUGGGGAGCAAACAGG